rnacentral:rRNA from 1 species
CACGUAGGGGGCGAGCGUUGUCCGGAUUUAUUGGGCGUAAAGCGCGUGUAGGCGGCUCGGUAAGUCCGCUCUGAAAGCCCGGGGCUCAACCCCGGGAGGCGGGUGGAUACUGCUGAGCUCGAGUCCGGAAGAGGAGUGUGGAAUUCCUGGUGUAGCGGUGAAAUGCGCAGAUAUCAGGAGGAACACCGGUGGCGAAGGCGGAUCUCUGGGCCAUUACUGGACGCUGAGGAGCGAAAGCGUGGGGAGCGAACAGG